rnacentral:misc_RNA from 1 species
GAGAACGCAGCGAAAUGCGAUACUUGGUGUGAAUUGCAGAAUCCCGUGAACCAUCGAGUCUUUGAACGCAAGUUGCGCCCGAAGCCAUUAGGCCGAGGGCACGCCUGCCUGGGCGUCACACGUCGUUGCCCCCCCAUCUACUCCUUCGGGAUUGCGGGGGGCGGAUGAUGGCCUCCCGUGCGCCUCGUCGCGCGGUUGGCAUAAAUGCCAAGUCCUCGGCGACGCACGCCACGACAAUCGGUGGUUGCGAAACCUCGGUUGCCCGUCGUGUGCGGUCGUCGCGCAUCGAGGGCUCGAAAAAAUUGCCGGGCUCCGGCUCGGCUUUCAACGCGACCCCAGGUCAGGCGGGGUUACCCGCUGAAUUUAAGCAUAUCAAUAAGCGGAGGA